rnacentral:rRNA from 1 species
CACGUAGGGCGCAAGCGUUGUCCGGAAUUAUUGGGCGUAAAGAGCUCGUAGGCGGUCUGUUGCGUCCGCUGUGAAAACUCGAGGCUUAACCUCGAGAUGUCAUCGGAAACCAUCUGGCUAGAGUCCGGAAGAGGAGAGUGGAAUUCCUGGUGUAGCGGUGAAAUGCGCAGAUAUCAGGAAGAACACCAAUGGCGAAAGCAGCUCUCUGGGACGGUACUGACGCUGAGACGCGAAAGCGUGGGGAGCGAACAGG